AUGAGUUGGUUUCCUGGGGCAUCCUCUAGAGGUCAACAAUGAAUUCUUUUUAGUAUUAUCAUGAACUGGUGGCUUUUUUUUUUUUUUUUUGAGACGGUCUCACUCUGUUGCCCAGGCUGGAGUGCAGUGGUGCGAUCUCGGCUCACUGCAACCUCCGCCUUCUGGGUUCAAGCGAUUCUCCUGCCUCAGCCUCCUGAGUAACUGGGACUACAGGCAAGUGCCACCACGCCCAGCUAAUUUUUUCUAUUUUAGCAGAGAGGAGGUUUCACCAUGUUGCCCAGGGUGGUCUCGAACUCCUGAGCUCAUAGAAUC
rnacentral:lncRNA from 10 species